CCUUUGGAGAGUCAUACUAAAUUGUAGUAGCUUUGGCGAAACCAGACUCAGAGAAUAAGGAA
rnacentral:sRNA from 1 species